UUUAGGAUUUGGAUUAGGAUUUGGUUUAGAGUUUAGGGUUUAAGGUUUGGAUUAGGGUUUGAUUAGGGAUUAAGGUUUGAUUAGGAUUUGGUUAGGGUUUAGGAUUUGGAUUAAGAUUUGGUUUAGGGUUUAGGAUUUAAGGUUUGGAUUAGGGUUUGAUUAGGGAUUAAGGUUUGAUUAGGAUUUAAGGUUUGUCUAGGAUUUGAUUAAGGUUGGAUUAGGAUUAGGAUUUGGUUAGAAUUUAAGGUUCUAUUAGAUUUUUGUUAGGGUUUGAUUAAGUUUUCUUUAAUAUUCUUUUAUAUUUCUUGAAAAUUUCCUUGUGUUUCUUUUAUAACUUCAAUAAAAUUUAAUUGAGCUUGUUUAAUGUUUGAUUAUGAUUGUUAACAUUUAAUUAUAAAUUCUCUAUAAUCCUAUUGGAUUGUUAGGACCUUUUGUUAUAAUUUUCUUUUACCUUCCACAGC
rnacentral:lncRNA from 1 species